UACGGAGGGUGCAAGCGUUAAUCGGAAUUACUGGGCGUAAGGCGCACGCAGGCGGUUUGGUAAGUCAGAGGUGAAAUCCCCCGGCUCAACCUGGGAACUGCCUUUGAAACUGGCAAGCUAGAGUCUCGUAGAGGGGGGUAGAAUUCCAGGUGUAGCGGUGAAAUGCGUAGAGAUCUGGAGGAAUACCGGUGGCGAAGGCGGCCCCCUGGACGAAGACUGACGCUCAGGUGCGAAAGCGUGGGGAGCAAACAGG
rnacentral:rRNA from 1 species